GUCGUAGCUCAGUGCUAGAGCAGCUGCCUUGCAUGCAGAAGGUCCCAGGUUCCAUUCUUGCCAUCUCCA